rnacentral:lncRNA from 1 species
GUCCUGGUCUUUCUCUUACAUAGCAUAACAUAACAUUCCAAUGUGCCAGAACGUAGAAUGGGUCCUGGUCUUUCUCUCACAUAGUGCCAGCGAACGUAGAAUGGGUCCCACUGGUCUUACAUUCCGUACCAUACAUAUCACAUCGUCACAUCAUAGAUCGAGGGCUAUGGAUCAUCCAACGUUCAUCCACAUCAACAACCAUAAAGUAUGCAAUGCAACAUAUUCGUGAAUUCUAAUGCAAACAACCUAGUAUAUCUCAUGGCAUUAAUGAUGCGUGAAUCAUGCUAAAAUGUCCAUU